UACGUAGGGGGCAAGCGUUGUCCGGAGUUACUGGGCGUAAAGCGCACGCAGGCGGUCUCUUAAGUUUUGGAGUGACAGUUGGUGGCUUAACUGCCAAAGUGCUUCGAAAACUGAGAGACUUGAGGGCUUCAGAGGGACACGGAAUUCCGGGUGGAGUGGUGAAAUGCGUAGAGAUCCGGAGGAACACCAAAGGCGAAGGCAGUGUCCUGGGGAGUACCUGACGCUCAGGUGCGAAAGCCAGGGGAGCGAACGGG
rnacentral:rRNA from 1 species